ensembl:lncRNA novel transcript
UUUGGUCAUUCUGAGAUAGUCAUGGAAAAUUACAACACAGAUGUUCAUACGGGAUCUUCCUUCUAUUGCCCAGUGCCCCGUGAAGCCCUUGAACAAAACCAGAAGAAAGUGAAAAAUAAACAGCCUUAUACGGUUGUCAUCAUCCUAUCCCCAGUGAUGGAGCCAUACUUGGGUCUGAAAUAUUUUGACACAGAUGAAGCAAGUCUUUGCAAUUUCCAAAGGAAAGGCUUCUGUGACACACUCUCUUGUUUGAAGGAGUGACAAUAACCUGAGAAUUGCUGAAAAUGCAGUCUGCCCUGAAGAACUCUGGACUGUGCCCUAACAACAUUCAUUCUCUUCUUCAUUUCCAGUCUCACUGGCUUGCAAAUAGUGCUUCCUGCCUCUUUCUUGCUGUUUCCUCAUCCUUGAUUUUCAGGGUGGAAACCUCAAUUCAUUUCCUUGAAAUGGCAAAUUAUUGCAAAGGCAUCAAUUGGUUCUUGUCUAAGUGGACAAGCAAAACUGCACUCUGGCUGAGAUGAUGGAGACACUCACCUACCAUGAUGAGGGGAAGAAGCUGGAAGCUGGGUCAUCUUGCCAGCCACUUUCUAUGGUUAUUUCACUCUUUCUUUUACUCAUCCCUUUUCUUCUUGCAUUUAUGAUAUUUUGCCAAUCAGUUUUGAGUUCAUAAAGACACAAACCAUGUC